AUGACUAAGACUAUCACCUCGUGCGAUUGGGUCGCUUCCACUGGCACGGAGCAAACUCUUGACGAAUAUGUUCAAGUGGGCGUCUUAUCAGCCAAAGAUGUUAUCCACUGGCGAGCUCCAGGGACAGAAGUUAGACCUCAGCCAAAGGAAGGUGAAGUCAUAGUUUUUGUUGAUCAUAUGAACCGUGGUUUCUCACCACCUGGCUCAAAGUUCUUUCGCGAUGUACUGCACUUUUUUCAACUUCACCCCCAAGAUAUUGGACCAAACUCCGUUUCCAACAUCUUCAAUUUCCAAGUCUUUUGUGAAGUAUACCUUCAAGAAGAACCCAACACUGACCUUUUCAGAGAGUACUAUUAUUUGAACCGCCAGACCGUGUUUACAGACGGGCCCAUCCUAGAACUUGGUGGAAUUUCAAUUCAUAGACGUAGAGAUGUUAUGUUCCCCGCAGCUACACUUCCUAGUCAUCCUAUAGACUGGAAUCAGGCCUGGUUUUACUGCCAAGACACAUCUCCACCUGGCGAAAAUCCUCUGUCGGGUUUCCGCGACCGCCGGCUUAGCCCAAAACAUCCACUUCUAGACCAGAUCAGCACCGCUGAAUGGGUUAAGUAUUUGCCUACCUUUUUGAAGGUAAGAGCCUUGCUAGCUAUUGGAUUAACCGGAGUUGAUUUGGUCCGAUGCGGGGUCGCUUGGAGGAUCAUACCUUUGAGCCGCCGGCCUGGCUUAAUGUGUGAAUACACCUGCGAUGUCAAAGAUCCACAGUGUCACUGUCAAGUGCAUUUGGAAGAAAAAGAGAUCAAUGAAAUGACUAAGACGCUGCUCGGGGAAAGCUUAGAAAGCUGUAGUAAGACGGGUUGA
rnacentral:rRNA from 1 species